GAUGAACGCUAGCGGCAGGCUUAAUACAUGCAAGUCGUGGGGCAGCAGGACUGUAGCAAUACAGUUGCUGGCGAGCGUCAAACAGGUGCGGGACACAUACGCAACUUACCUUGUACUUGGGGAUAGACCUGGGAAACCCGACGUUAUACCCCGUAAUAUCCUGCAGUGGCAUCCCUUUAUUAUUAAAGCUUCGCCGGUUCGAGAGGGGCGUGCGGCUGAUUAGGCAGUUGGUUGAGGUAACGGCGCACCAAGCCUACGAUCAGUAACUGCUGUGAGAGCACGACACGCCACAAGGGCAAUAAGACACAGGCCCGAAUCCUACGCGAGGCAGGAGUAAGGAAUAUUAGGCAAUGGAGGCAACUCUGACCCAGCCAUGCCGGGUGGAGGAUGAAGGCCGUCUGGGUUGUAAACUUCUUUUAUAGAAAACGAACCCUGUGUAUUCUUACGCAGUUGACGGUACCCUAGGAAUAAGCACCGGCUAACUCCGUG
rnacentral:rRNA from 1 species